CCAAGGAUACCCCCCCAAGUCGUGAGAAUUUAGCUGGCUCUCUCAGAACUUGUCUGCUCUAAAUUCACGCUAAUGUCUUAUAGUUAUAGGUAACCAUUGGAUGGUGAGUCCAGCGGAAGGGUGUUUAAGUGGUUAUGUGUGAUGGCGUUUCCCGGAAAUGCUCAAACUUCGUGUCAAAUUUUUGCAGGUUUGGUUAGGAAGGGGAAUGAGUCGAAGGUUUAUUGUUGAUAUGAUGUAUG
rnacentral:lncRNA from 1 species